rnacentral:snRNA from 2 species
CCUAGCUUCGGCUGGGCAUAUACUAAAAUUGGAAGGAUACAGAGAAGAUUAGCAUGGCCCCUGCACAGGGAUGACACGAAGGUGUUGCGUCUGUUU